UAUGGUAAUGGUGCAGCAGCCGCGGUCAUACGUAGGGGGCAAGCGUUAUCCGGAAUUACUGGGUGUAAAGGGUGCGUAGGUGGUAUGGCAAGUCAGAAGUGAAAACCCAGGGCUUAACUCUGGGACUGCUUUUGAAACUGUCAGACUGGAGUGCAGGAGAGGUAAGCGGAAUUCCUAGUGUAGCGGUGAAAUGCGUAGAUAUUAGGAGGAACAUCAGUGGCGAAGGCGGCUUACUGGACUGAAACUGACACUGAGGCACGAAAGCGUGGGGAGCAAACAGG
rnacentral:rRNA from 1 species